rnacentral:rRNA from 1 species
UACGUAGGGUGCGAGCGUUGUCCGGAAUCACUGGGCGUAAAGCGUCUGUAGGUGGUUUAAUAAGUCAACUGUUAAAUCUUGAGGCUCAACCUCAAAAUCGCAGUCGAAACUAUUAGGCUAGAGUAUAGUAGGGGUAAAGGGAAUUUCCAGUGGAGCGGUGAAAUGCGUAGAGAUUGGAAAGAACACCGAUGGCGAAGGCACUUUACUGGGCUAUUACUAACACUCAGAGACGAAAGCUAGGGUAGCAAAUGGG